AUUUAAUAAACAGGUCUGAUUGUGUUCACUGUAAAGAGAGGUUUAAUAAACAGGUCUGAGAGUGUUCACUGUGAGGAGAGGUUUAAUAAACAGGUCUGAGAGUGUUCAGUGUGAAGAGAGGUUUAAUAAACAGGUCUGAGAGUGUUCAGUGUGAAGAGAGGUUUAAUAAACAGGUCUGAGAGUGUUCACUGUGAGGAGAGAUUUAAUAAACAGGUCUGAGAGUGUUCAGUGUGAAGAGAGGUUUAAUAAACAGGUCUGAGAGUGUUCACUGUAAAGAGAGGUUUAAUAAACAGGUCUGAGAGUGUUCACUGUGAGGGAGGUUUAAUAAACAGGUCUGAGAGUGUUCACUGUGAGGAGAGGUUUAAUAAACAGGUCUGAGAGUGUUCACUGUGAGGAUAGAUUUAAUAAACAGGUCAGAGAGUGUUCAGUGUGAAGAGAGGUUUAAUAAACAGGUCUGAGAGUGUUCACUGUGAAGAGAGAUUUAAUAAACAGGUCUGAUUGUGUUCACUGUAAAGAGAGGUUUAAUAAACAGGUCUGAGAGUGUUCACUGUGAGGAGAGGUUUAAUAAACAGGUCUGAGAGUGUUCAGUGUGAAGAGAGGUUUAAUAAAC
rnacentral:lncRNA from 1 species